UUGCUGUUAACAUUGGUCUAACAUUCCAAAAACUCAAACAAAUCUCAACUCAAAACAAAAUGUUCAAACUGGUCGUCACUCUAUCAGCACUCUGCGCCGUCGCCUCCGCCGGCUACAUUGGUGGCUACGGACUCGGCGGUCUUAGCGGACAUGAUGGUCUAGGCUAUGGUUUGGGUUAUAGCGGCUACAGUGGCAUUGUUGCACCAGCAUACCAUUCACCCGCCAUUGUGGCACCCGCACCAAUUGUAAAGACUUACAGUGCACCCAUCGUCGCCGCUCCAGUGGUGAAGACCAUCGCGCCAUUGGCCACAUCAUAUGCCAACACCUACAAAGUGGCCACCAAGGCUAUUCCAGUAGUACAUGCCGCCCCUGCUCUGGUGCACGCUGCGCCAGCUGUUUAUGCCGCACCCGCCUACCAAACUUCCUCCUCCUACCACGGUUCCUUGGGCGGUUACGGCUUGAACUAUGGAUAUGGUCAUGGUCUAUUGCAUUAAGUGUACAACAAAGGAGUGAUAUGGAUUAAGGCGAACAAGGAUAUGAAAAAGGCAGAUGUAGGUUUAGUGAUCGCUUAGUGAUCGAAACGUCGUACAUAAUUAUAGUUAAACAUACCACGAAACCUUGUUAUCUUACAUAAAAUCCUUGUCAUCACGCACUAGUUUGGAGAUAAUUUUUCGAGUGUACGGGCUAUUCAGAACAUGAAAAUAGCGGUGACAUAAACAAUUGAUUAUACGAGUGGGUGAGCUUAUGGGCGAUCAGAAAGUUUGACUAAGUGCCUGUUUUUGUGUUGUCGAAUUUGAAUCUAAUUCUUUAAGUAUUUUUUAAUAAAUUUAUACAACGAA
rnacentral:misc_RNA from 1 species